rnacentral:rRNA from 1 species
UACGGAGGGUGCAAGCGUUAUCCGGAUUCACUGGGUUUAAAGGGUGCGCAGGCGGGAUAAUAAGUCAGAGGUGAAAUCCUACGGCUCAACUGUAGAACUGCCUUUGAUACUGUUGUUCUUGAGUAAAGUUGGAGUGGGCGGAAUGUGUUGUGUAGCGGUGAAAUGCUUAGAUAUAACACAGAACACCGAUCGCGAAGGCAGCUCACUAAGCUUUAACUGACACUCAUGCACGAAAGCGUGGGGAUCAAACAGGAUUAGAUACCCUGGUAGUCCACGCUGUAAACGAUGAUCACUCGCUGUUGGCGAUAUACUGUCAGUGGCUAAGCGAAAGUGAUAAGUGAUCCACCUGGGGAGUACGAUCGCAAGAUUGAA